rnacentral:miRNA from 1 species
UAUAAAACAAAUAAUGAAUGUUUUCAUUCGUGCAAUGGUAAGAAAUAUUUUCAUUCGGUGAAAGAUGGAAUGUUCCAUUCAACGAGGCGACAGCCGAGUUGAAUGGAACAUUCCAUCUUUCACCUCAUGAAAAUAUUCUUACCAUUGCACUCAUAAACAUUCAUUAUUUGUAUACUA